rnacentral:lncRNA from 1 species
GUUGUCAUUGUGUUUUUAUAUAAUCAAUUUUGAGGGAAUGUAAGUCAAAGUUAUUUUUUUUUAUGUUCCUUUCCCCAUUGGGAAUGACAAUGUACUUUAAGAAAAGUAGCUGUGAUUAGGAACUUACAGGUUCUCUUGAGUUAUAAAUCAAAAUUAUACCUGUUUAUUAUAUGCUGAGUAAAUUUUUAAAUGUGUAAUAUAAUCGGUUAUAAUCAGAGCUCUCUGUGGUAUUUUGAGAAAGUCAUAUGUUCUCAAUGCAUGGUAAUAAUAAUUUAAGGAAAUCAUAUAAUGUCCUCAAUGCAUGUUUAUAGUGUCAAUUACAGUAUUACUAUUUUUAUUUUUAUAUGUGGGAUUUAGGUUGUGAAUUUAUAUUUUUUGUGAUUAAUCAAGAUACAAUACAUGUCAAUGUCAACAGCAUUUAUAUUUGGUUUAUUUUUAUACUAUAUACUUUACGUAAUUUACAGUUGAUUUUUUCGUUGAAUUAUGGAUGAUUUACAUGUAUGUCUCAAAUAAAGUAUAUUAUAAGCGGAAAGUAUUGUUUGUUUGCUAGAAAUACUUCCUAGUUAAUUUUUUUUAAUCCAUACAAUUAUAUUCUUUGGGGUAUCUAGUUUUAAAUAUGUGUGUGAUGACCUGGCCUGCCAACAGACAUAACUGCCAUGGCUAAAAAAAGAACAUACAGGUAAAUUCAUGGAGAUCUAACUGAACACAAAUUUUCAGGCAAAUAUGACAUGUUGUUGGGUUGCUGCAUCUUGAAUUAGUAAUUUUAAGGAAAUUUUUUGUUACAUAUUAUUAUUGAAAGAGAUAAGCUGUAAACAGCAGUAAUAUUCAGCAAAGUAGGAUCUACAAAUAAUUCACCAUGAACAAAAUUGUCAAUUGACCCCAUAAGAAAUUAUUGCCUUUUAGUCCAUUUUUAAUACUUUAAAAAA